UCUGCAGCAACCACAGGAAACAAAAAAACAUGUUUUCCUCUUGUUUAAAGGACGACGGCAACUAUGUUCACUUAAUCAGCAUCUGAUGAGAGGACUGGGCUGGAAGUUAUCACAUCAUCUUUUGUAAGUACAACUUCACAGCUUUGUGUGGUGAUAAUCUAAAUUUCUACUAUUGUCAAGGGUUGCAUGAAAAGCCCCAAAAACAGAGUGAAGUUAGCUGACUAAAGAAUAUUGUCGAUACUUGUGUGUGUGUGUGUGUAUAUAUUUCUCUAAUCCUCUAAACUCCAUCAUUGUCCAAAAACGAAUAAAAACAAUCUUAUGUAGCGGACAUCCCAGGCCUCACUGAGCCAAAAUGUGGGAAACCAGAUCGACUCCUGCAGGUCAGGUAAUCCCUGCUCCAUAAAACCUUCAUUUCAGACAGGAAACCAAAAAGAGUUGCUGUUCAUCCAAACAAACGGCUUUUAACCUGACAAAGCAGAUAUACGACUGGCACUGGGGAUUAUUCAGGCGGAACUGGCCGGAGGGGGUCAGCGGGGAACUCCUUAGCCUUAGUUCCUCUGCCUCCAUCUCAGAGGAAGAGGGUCUGGACAGAAGCCAUAAAACCAACAGUCCACUCUGAACUGAAAACCAGCUGAUUUUAUUGUCUGAAACAAAGACAGAAUAAUGUUCAAACGUUCUGUGAUUUGUUUAAUAUUGUUUUCUAAUUGAUUUCAGGUAAUUUGAUAAAAUUCCUACACCAUUCAGAUUUAAUGAGAGAUAAAUUGAGAUAUUCAUCUAAAAUGCAUCUACACAUUAACUAUAUAAAUACCAGUAAUGUUAUGUUUUAUUUUACUUGUCCUUUAGUUGCAUGCAUUUAUGAAUUUAAGUCAUGUUUAUUAAUGUUAUAAUAGUUCAUUAUACUGAAUAACUUCGAAUGUUGUUGAAUAUCGUUCCAUCAAUGAUUCCCUACAACACACAUUUGUCUAAUUCACCUGCCGCCUUAUAUUGCUUUACUGUUUGAUUUUCCAUACAGUGAAUGUUUAUUGGGUCAACCUCACCCUUUAGACAUUAGGUUACACAAUUAAACAAUGCAAGAUAACUAAGUGCAAAUCUUACUCCCUCAGUAACGUCAAAAACUACAAUUACCAUCUAAAAACUACUGAACCCUUUUAAAAGUGAAACUAUAUGUUUGUUGUAUUUUUCUUUGCAAUCAACGGGUCUGAGCUUAUCUGUGGCACAGUAGAGAAGAUCCCAGAUAUUGAGGUGGACUAACAAAACUGUAUGUUUUGAUCUUUUCAUGGGAUUUGUUUUACAAUAAUACAGUGUGUCUCCAGCCUUAUACUUUGUUAAAUAAGUAGUCAACCAGCAUGCAAGGUAUUAAUGUUGAACUUUAAGAAAAUCUCUGUCUGUAUUCCUGUAUUUACUCAAAGUGCUCAUCUGAUCACCUUGAGUCUUGUCAUUUGUAUUCUACAGCAGAGUCAACCCUCCUCCCUAUAAGCCUACCAGGUGGCUGCUUAGGGCCCCACAACCACCAGGGGGCCCCAAAAAUCUAGCUGGCAGUGGUGUAUGACUCAUCUCGUUUAUUUGAUCCAAAACUGCCAAUAAUUAUGUACGUAUGUAAGAUUCCCUUGAAGGUUCUCUGCUCCGGCGUUUUUUCGUCGUCUCUUAUUCCGUCUCUUGGCAGCGGCAUUGAAGCAGGUGACCAUCGUGACGUUGGCCUUGCAGCGAUCGACUCUGUUCUCCAGCCGAGCCGUCACCACCUCCAGGUGCUCCAGGUGCUCCAGGGAGUCCACCUCGAACAUCUGCCACAGGUCAACUGAAACAGGACAGGGAGGCUCCAGCACGAGGUGGUGUUUGACCUGCUCCAGAUCUCCCCUCAGGUUGUUGUAUUUGGCUCGGACCUCUCACAUCCUCUGCUGACGGUGCUCCAAAAACUUGAGCUUGGCACUGAAGCACGCUGGGCCCUGAAAACACAUACAUACACACAUUUCAUGUCUUUUCCUUUUGUUCACAAAAAUAAACUGGAUACUUGGAUACUG